rnacentral:rRNA from 1 species
UACAGAGGGUGCAAGCGUUAAUCGGAAUUACUGGACGUAAAGCGCGCGUAGGUGGUUGUGUAAGUUGGAUGUGAAAGCCCCGGGCUUAACCUGGGAACUGCAUUCAAAACUGCACGGCUAGAGUACGGGAGAGGGGGGUAGAAUUUCCUGUGUAGCGGUGAAAUGCGUAGAUAUAGGAAGGAACACCAGUGGCGAAGGCGACCACCUGGACUGAUACUGACACUGAGGUGCGAAAGCGUGGGGAGCAAACAGGAUUAGAUACCCCGGUAGU